AUUGAAACUAAUGUAAAAAAUUGAAGCACAGGAUAGGAUAGUGGAAGCACAAAUUUUAUAAUGACAAGUUGUUGUUUGCAUUUGUGGUAGAUUGGUAGUACAGACAACAUUGUGUAACAUAUCAACGUCGGAGCUACGUUAAAUCAAUACAUAGCUAAAAGAUGACGUCAUUUUUGCAUCUCGGAGACUUGCACGAUUCUACAUUCUGCGAUGUUAACAAGUACUAUAUCGUGGAAAACGAGGCAUAGUUUGGCAUCUCGUCAUAUACAGUCAUCAAAGGCUGUUUCACAGGUUACCUUUGUAUACGCUCUUAUUACAGGUUUUAUAAGAAGAUAUGGGAAGUUGGAGGAGCUGUCGAUUCGUCAUUACACAAAGGCGUCGAACUUAACAGAGACUCCCCAACUUUCAGUUAUGCCUAUUAUAACGCUACCAGAGUCGUCGUUGCCAUGACUACCAAGAAGAAAAAAGACGCUUAUUACAAAAUAUUGUGCACAAUCCGCACUUCUCCGCGCAACAGUCAUCGUUUUUCCUCCUCGUAAUUAUCCUAGCAGGUUGAGAAUAGAAGCAGACGAGAAGAUAAACACUAGACUUGAUGGUAGCAAGCAAAGAAGUUACGCACAAUAGGAGAACAAACAAGCAACCCCAAAACCCUGGGCGUACAUACAGACGAUCUUCACGAAACAAAAUAGCAAAAAGGAUUUCUACAUGACUUUUGCAUCUUGAGAAGAACAAGCACGAGGGGAUUCUGAUGGGACCAUAAUAAUAGCUGGCAGCCUUCAAGAUGUGAGGGAGGCCAUUCACUCUCGUCCCUCUGUUUGGAGUUAAGCUCGUCAAGUAAAGAUUAAGCUGCCGUACUAGUUACACCUAUCACGGAUGGCAAUUGCAUGUGCCUCUUGACGAUACUCUACCCCUGCAAUUCCCAAUCAAGGACCACGAGCUUCAUUGUACUAAUUAGAUUCCAAGAGAGGGGUUGGAAACUUGAUGAUCGCUAUAUAGCCUCUUGCAGGCUGAUUAUAAUCGCUGUUCCAGCCUACUUUAUUUGCAGUCGAACACGGUCGAUAUAUAGGGAGAAGCAGAAACACUGGAUUGGAAUGAAAGAAGAGGGGAAUUUACUUGUCAGCUCAAUAUGUUCUAUUGUCAGAACUCUACCACACCGACUGGGUCUUACAAGCCUUAACGCACAUAAUAAUAGACAAUCGGCUGUGUACGCCUAACGCUGCGCCUUAUGUUCUUCGUGAUUAGCUGGUGCUCUUCGUCAAAUAUUUGAAGUGGGCCGUUUUAUGGCUCCGCCGUGAUGAUGUCCGAGGAAGCUAAAGGCGGAACUGCGAACAGACGGCCAUAAGGAAAUGACGGGAGCGCCUCACGCAUAGCAGAGAAAAUGUUGCUCGUAUAUUACACGAACGACCGAAACGGAUGGAGAAAAGAUAAUUCGUCAAAACAAAAGAAUGUUUAAAAAAACCGAGCGUGUUGCGGCCGUGUUUAACGAUCCUUAAUCAACAGUGCGAUCCAUCGCGCUUUGCGGAACGAUGAGCCGAAGACUUCUGGCACGCGUUUGGGUCGUUUCGCCUUGUUAGAACAAGAAGAUGGAUUUAAAGACGUGGCUUAUUGUUGAAUAAGCCACGCAACGGUUAUGCAUUUCCUUAAUUUACAUCAUACUUUUGUUUGAAUCGGCCGUGUCUCUACAAAAACUUUCUCUGAUGUCAUUGGCACAAAAUACUUUUAUAAAACAAGGAGUGAUGAGCAUCCAUGACGUAAUGCCCGUAGAAAAAUUGUUUCUCGGGCUUCUUGACUAGAGAAUUAGUCUGCUCGUUUUUGACGCGUCGUUGCCACGGAGGUGAACGAGCCUACGCUUCCCAGUUGUGUUUGUUUGUGGUUAAUAUUUGGAUGAGGAAGCAUUUUGCAUUAAGUUUAAGGUGACGUAUCGAUAAUGAACAUUAACGUGAUUGCGGGGUGUCUUUCGAUACAAGUUUAUUUGUCCUAGAAUGUUCAAUGGCCUCUCGUUUGCAAGUGUUAGUUAAUUAAUGGUUUGACCAGCUUGUAUAUUAGAGAACUAUAUACAUAAAUGCUUAAUAUUACGAUUAAGAUUACAGGGAUUUACAGCCAAUUUUAUAUGCAAUAGUUUAAUUGCAACUGGCAAUCAGCUAUGUUUGGCAGUAGAGGUUCCAGAAAAUGAAAUAUAAAUUUCUUAUGAAAUGUUAAAUGGUUUUAAUUCACUAGCCUUAACAACUAUUGCAUAUUUACCGUUGAGUACAUGAUUAAUAUUCCUGCCGUCAUAUUUUUGUAAAAAAUUCAAACCUCAAGGUUCAUAAUUUUUAAAAAUGACUAGUUUCGGUGCUUGUUAAGUAUUUGAUAGUUCCCAUUAUGAUAAUGAGAAUGUUUUAGUUCUUGUUCUGUAAAUAAAUGCCCUCGGCCAGUUCGCAAUUUCUUGUACUACUACGAAAAGAUUAAAAGGUGCGUUGGCACCAUCCCCUGAAGUCUUUGGUAAAUGUGUUUUAUUCCAAAAUGCAAAUGAACUUGUUCUAUUUCCCAAUCUGCCAUUCGUUAUUGCAAUUUUUCAUUAAUGAACAUUGUUAUUCUGCUUAUGGAUUAACUAAAUCGCUGAAAAGAAUCUUCUUAAACGG